GACACUCCCGCAGCUAUCUCUCCAGAUGUCAGCUCGGAGGAAGAUGAACCAGUUCCAGGCAUGUCUCAUACCGCACCAAAACCCAUGUUUCAACAAGACUGGAAGGCUCACCUCUAUUCCCAAAGUUUUCAGUUUCUCUUCCCAAGAAUUCAUGACGACAGGAGGAAGAGACCCACGGGGUUUGCAAGCUGUCACCACCAUAAGAACCUCUCCAUUUGAAAUGUCUGCAAUGCAACCGUUGGGAAAAUGAAUCGUUCAACGUUGGCAGGUUAAACCACAGUCCAUCAAUUGCCACAAUUCGCCGUAGGCCAUCAAUCACGGUUUACAAAUA